GAUGAACGCUAGCGGCAGGCCUAACACAUGCAAGUCGAGGGAGAAAGCCUUCGGGGCAGAAACCGGCGCACGGGUGCGUAACGCGUAUGCAACCUACCUUUCACAGGGGGAUAGCCCGAAGAAAUUUGGAUUAAUACCCCAUAAUAUUAUUGGGUGGCAUCAUUUGAUAAUUAAAAUUACGAUGGUGAAAGAUGGGCAUGCGUCCUAUUAGCUAGUUGGAGUGGUAACGGCACCCCAAGGCUACGAUAGGUAGGGGUCCUGAGAGGGAGAUCCCCCACACUGGUACUGAGACAGGGACCAGACUCCUACGGGAGGCAGCAGUGAGGAAUAUUGGUCAAUGGUCGGAAGACUGAACCACCCAUGCCGCGUGCAGGAAGAAUGCCUUAUGGGUUGUAAACUGCUUUUAUAUGGGAAGAAUAAGGAGUACGUGUACUUUGAUGACGUACCAUAUGAAUAA
rnacentral:rRNA from 1 species